UACGGGGGGGGCAAGCGUUGUUCGGAAUUCUGGGCGUAAAGGGCUCGUAGGUGGCCAACUAAGUCGGACGUGAAAUCCCUCAGCUUAACUGGGGAACUGCGUCCGAUACUGGAUGGCUUGAGUUUGGGAGAGGGAUGCGGAAUUCCAGGUGUAGCGGUGAAAUGCGUAGAUAUCGGGAGGAACACCUGUGGCGAAGGCGGCCACCUGGACAACAACUGACGCUGAGACGCGAAAGCGUGGGUAGCAAACAGG
rnacentral:rRNA from 1 species